GACGAACGCUGGCGGCGUGCUUAACACAUGCAAGUCGAACGGAAAGGCCCUGCUUGCAGGGUACUCGAGUGGCGAACGGGUGAGUAACACGUGGGUGAUCUGCCCUGCACUUCGGGAUAAGCCUGGGAAACUGGGUCUAAUACCGGAUAGGAGCCAUUUUUAGUGUGAUGGUUGGAAAGUUUUUUCGGUGUAGGAUGAGCUCGCGGCCUAUCAGCUUGUUGGUGGGGUAAUGGCCUACCAAGGCGGCGACUGGUAGCCGGCCUGAGAGGGUGGACGGCCACAUUGGGACUGAGAUACGGCCCAGACUCCUACGGGAGGCAGCAGUGGGGAAUAUUGCACAAUGGGCGCAAGCCUGAUGCAGCGACGCCGCGUGGGGGAUGACGGCCUUCGGGUUGUAAACUCCUUUCGCUAGGGACGAAGCUUUUUGUGACGGUACCUAGAUAAGAAGCACCGGCUAACUACGUG
rnacentral:rRNA from 1 species